rnacentral:rRNA from 1 species
CAUAAGCGGAGGAAAAGAAACCAACAGGGAUUGCCUUACUAACGGCGAGUGAAGCGGCAAAAGCUCAAAUUUGAAAUCGGCCACCAGGUCGAGUUGUAAUUUGUAGAUUGUAUCUUGAGAGCGGAUUAAAGUCUGUUGGAACACAGCGCCUUAGAGGGUGACAGCCCCGUAAAAUCUAUUCUCAUUGUAAGAUACUUUCGAAGAGUCGAGUUGUUUGGGAAUGCAGCUCUAAGUGGGAGGUAAAUUCCUUCUAAAGCUAAAUAUUGACGAGAGACCGAUAGCGAACAAGUACUGUGAAGGAAAGAUGAAAAGCACUUUGAAAAGAGAGUGAAAAAGUACGUGAAAUUGUUAAAAGGGAAGGGUAUUGAAUCAGACUUGGUGCUGUUGUUCAACCAUGUUUCGGCAGGUGUACUCAGCAGUACUAGGCCAAGGUGGGGUGUUUGGGAGUGAAAAAGAAGUUGGAACGUAACUCUUCGGAGUGUUAUAGCCUACUUUCAUAGCUCCUCAGGCGCCUCAGGACUGCGCUUCGGCAAGGACCUUGGCAUAAUGAUUCUAUACCGCCCGUCUUGAAGG